rnacentral:misc_RNA from 1 species
UGCGUCUCUCAACUAACGUAAUUUGUGCACCUGCGUGUGCGUGACCCGUACGUAUAAAGAGAUGCGUAGGUAUGCGCGGUACGUACAUUUAAUUUGUUUCUACAUCGCAACCGCACGACCGUCAAUGGGCGUGCUACUUUAUAGACCUAACAGCACAGCAUCAACGGCAUUAUACUUGAGGCUUAUUGUUAGUUACGGUCGUUGCGUCGCGACGUUAGCCGUUGGCAUUUCGUACCCGAUGGCCUCUCCUCGGUGUACUCACAAAUUUAUUAUCGUACACCCCCCCCCCCCCCCCCCCAACCACGUCAAUGGUCUAAGCAAAGUUCCCCAUUCGCAAACGGUUGUUAGUAUUUUUAUGAAAUUUCAUAACAGGUUAAAAUAUUAACCUAAGCACAGCUGUCAUAACGUCACUCGCGGUAUACGGCAACGUGUUCUCACUUGAACUGUUUAAAAGUGUCUCGGCAACUUCCAUUUCUCAGUGCGGAAUGGCACGGACUGCGAUUAGUUCGCAAAAUUGAAUACGGUUUUUAUCGAAUGGCGCUACCCUCGCGGACGACCUGCCUAACACGAGCGCGAC